rnacentral:rRNA from 1 species
UACGGAGGGUGCAAGCGUUAUCCGGAAUCACUGGGUUUAAAGGGUGCGUAGGCGGCUUGAUCAGUCAGAGGUGAAAGCCCACGGCUCAACUGUGGAACUGCCUUUGAUACUGUCAGGCUUGAAUUGGGUUGAGGCAGGCGGAAUGUGGCAUGUAGCGGUGAAAUGCUUAGAUAUGCCAUAGAACACCGAUUGCGAAGGCAGCCUGCCAAGCCUUGAUUGACGCUGAGGCACGAAAGCGUGGGGAGCGAACAGG